rnacentral:rRNA from 1 species
GAAGUAGCGGGUCUACCAUGCAGUCGACGCGAAAGGGGCUUCGGCCCUGAGUAGAGUGGCAAACGGGUGAGUAACGCGUGGGUGACCUGCCCUUGAGUGGGGGAUAACGUUCCGAAAGGGGCGCUAAUACCGCAUAACAUCCUGCUCUUAGAGAGGUGGAGAUCAAAGCUGGGGACCGCAAGGCCUGGCGCUUGAGGAGGGGCCCGCGUCCGAUUAGCUAGUUGGUAGGGUAAUGGCCUACCAAGGCGACGAUCGGUAGCCGGCCUGAGAGGGCGGACGGCCACACUGGGACUGAGACACGGCCCAGACUCCUACGGGAGGCAGCAGUGGGGAAUUGUUCGCAAUGGGCGCAAGCCUGACGACGCAACGCCGCGUGGAGGAUGAAGGUCUUCGGAUUGUAAACUCCUGUUGACCGGGAAGAAUUCCCCUGGGGUUAACACCCCUGGAGGUUGACGGUACCGGUUGAGGAAGCCCCGGCUAACUCUGUGCCAGCAGCCGCGGUAAUACAGAGGGGGCGAGCGUUGUUCGGAAUUACUGGGCGUAAAGGGCGCGUAGGCGGCCAACUAAGUCAGACGUGAAAUCCCCCGGCUCAACUGGGGAACUGCGUCUGAUACUGGCUGGCUUGAAUCCGGGAGAGGGAUGUGGAAUUCCAGGUGUAGCGGUGAAAUGCGUAGAUAUCUGGAGGAACACCGGUGGCGAAGGCGGCAUCCUGGACCGGUAUUGACGCUGAUGCGCGAAAGCCAGGGGAGCAAACGGGAUUAGAUACCCCGGUAGUCCUGGCCCUAAACGAUGAAUGCUUGGUGUGGCGUGUAUCGAUCCCCGCCGUGCCGAAGCUAACGCAUUAAGCAUUCCGCCUGGGGAGUACGGUCGCAAAGGCUGAAACUCAAGGAAUUGACGG